rnacentral:rRNA from 1 species
UUGAGCUCAGAUCAGGUAGGACUACCGCCUGAACUUAAGCAUAUCAAUAAGGCGAGGAACAGAAACCAACAGGGAUUCCCCUAGUAGUGGCGAAUGAAGCGGGAAAAGCUCAAGUUUGAAAUCUGGCGGGUGACCUCCAGAGUUGUAAGCUGAAGAGGCAUAGACCGACGCGGUCCGGGCUCAAUUUCCUUGGAACAGGAGGUCAUGGAGGGUGAGAACCCCGUCUGUGGCUCGAGUGCCGUCGUCCUUGCGUCUUGCCCUCGUAGAGUCGGGUUGUUUGGGAAUGCAGCUCAAAAUGGGUGGUAAAUUUCAUCUAAAGCUAAAUAUUGGCGAGAGACCGAUAGCAAACAAGUAGAGUGAUCGAAAGAUGAAAAGUACUUUGAAAAGAGAGUGAAACAGUACGUGAAAUUGUUGAAAGGGAAGCGUUUGGCAUCAGCCCAUGGCGCUCGAAGAUCAUCCGGGCUUCUGUCCGGUGCACUUUUCGAGCGUUGGGCCAGCGUCGACUUUGCCCGCCGGAGAAAGGCCAGGGGGACGUGUCUCCCUCCGGGGAGAGUUAUAACCCCUGGCGUCAUGCGGUGUGGUGGGGUCGAGGUCCGCGGU